ACUGCGAGGAACUGUCUUGUCAUCACAUUCUGGGAUGUACAGAAACUUUUCAGGAAGAAUUUUCAAUGACUCAGUCACUUUCAACACACAGAGCAACAUCUGAUCUGUUUUCUGUAUGCCGCGCUACCGUGGUUCAAAGCACAGAAAAUGUUUCUUACAAAACAACGUUAAUGACUCUAACUCUGAAAGGUAAUUUCCAAAUAUUCUAGCAUAAAGAGAGAUCAUUUAGCACUAUGUGAAUUACUCUUAUAUAUCUGCUUAUUGAAAGUUAUUGUCUAUAAGUUAAAGGAUAAAUUAUGAAAUAAUUUUGUUAAUUUCUAAUUAUUACAACAAAUGACUCUUCUCAAUAAAUGUUGAAAGAAAAUCAAAUAUCACCGAUGAAAACCAACGUUCCGUGACGAAGCUUAAAAACAAUAAAUAUGUACUUUGUGGUAAGUGUUUUGUGUAAUUAGCA